rnacentral:lncRNA from 1 species
GAAAGCAAGUUUCCUCUUCAGAACCUUUAUGUGAUGUGGCCUUCAUCAAAAUGUCAAAACAUGCAGUUUAUGUUUUUAGGUGACAGGGUGAUAUUUGCAGUCCUAUACAAUGCAAACACCAUGUAUUAAUCUCACAUCUGACACAUCAGGCCUCCUGCCCAGUCAGUAACCCAUGUCCAGACGUACAGGCAGGCUGAGGCCUGGGAGACACCAAGGUGUGUCACGGACAAGCCUUUGCUGCCUUUCCUCCUGGAAGAUGGUGAGAACUGGCUGCAUCACCAGUGAGGCUGGCAUUCCAGGUUGCCUGAACCUUCCAUGGCAACUGCAUUCAGCUGUGGCCAAGGAAAACCUCACGGCUGAGCAACAACUCUCAAGAGUCUAGAACAUCAGAGAAGAGGUUUAUAAGAGGAUCAGGCAACAACUGCACCUUUAAUCCAACCUGCCUCAAAAAAUAUUGGCCCAAGGAAGAACGCCUCUCUGCGGGUUUGGAAACUUACAGCUAAGCCACAGAUAAAAUUGGGGACAGAGAAUUUCCAAACGCCAAAAGCUUUUUUGUCCAUCAAUAGUACCAGACUCUGCACAUGUGCGCUGCAUAAAUGACCAGAGUGAUCCGUCUUAAAUAUAUCAGUGCUUACAGCACAAGAAUCCCUUCCUGCAUCCCAACACCUGAAAUGCUACAGUGCAGCCCACAUGUAUGGUGUUGCCUUUAUGCUUUGAAACACCAUCUCCUGGCAGGGUCAGGUAAUAACAACAAACUUCUUAAGCAGUAAAGGGACUAAACUGGCACUUUCUGGCUUGUUAAGGUUCAAGCACAAGAGAAACUAGCCCCAUGUCUCUGUGAUCCACAGGACCUCCUCUGAAAGCAGUGGCUAUGACAGUCUACCUGGAAUCAGCAACAAAAACAGCAGCCACAGUAGAUUUCAUGUCUCAGAUUCUUGGUUAAAUCUCAAAAUCUGACUUACUAAGCCAACGAAGAAAACUAGGAGAGGCAAAGUCGGAAUGUGGGGUUGAAAUGGACCACUGACUGGGGUCUAAAUUAGCUCUGGUUUUGGUUCCUUGGCCAUAUUCAGUGUCACUCAGGUAUAGAGCCCAAGGCAAAC